UGUGCACGCCCAAGUGCUUUCACACAAUCCAUCUCACCCCUUUUGUGCAUCACCGCGUGGGUCCCCUUUCGUGGGUGGGCUUGCGUUUUCACAUAAAACUUGAUACAGUAUAGAAUGUUUUUUUUGCAGUUACAUGCAAUCAAUACAACUUUCAACAACGGAUCUCUUGGCUCUCGCAUCGAUGAAGAACGCAGCGAAAUGCGAUACGUAAUGUGAAUUGCAGAAUUCAGUGAAUCAUCGAAUCUUUGAACGCACCUUGCGCCCCUUGGCAUUCCGAGGGGCACACCCGUUUGAGUGUCGUGAAAUUCUCAAAACCCUUUUCUUUCUGGAAAAGGAUUUUUGGACUUGGAGGUUCCAUGCUUGCCUUCUACUUUUGAAAGCGAGCUCCUCUCAAAUAAAUUAGUGGGGUCCACUUUGCUGAUCCUUGACGUGAUAAGAUGUUUCUACGUUUUGGAUUUAGUAUUGUCUUUUGGAUGCCUGCUCCUAACUGUCUCACAGACAAUGAUGGUGCUCUGGUCACUGCCAUCUAUAUUGGCGGGAGGCUGGACCCACAAAAAAAAACCUUGACCUCAAAUCGGGUGAGACUACCCGCUGAACUUAAGCAUAUCAAUAAGCGG
rnacentral:rRNA from 1 species